rnacentral:rRNA from 1 species
ACAAAUCUGGCUGUCGUGAUGCCUAAAAAGCAUUAUAUAGCAAGGGCCGGGCAAGACCGGUGCCAGCCGCCGCGGUAACACCGGCGGCUCGAGUGGUAACCGUUAUUAUUGGGUCUAAAGGGUCUGUAGCCGGCCGGAUAAGUCUCUUGGGAAAUCUGGCAGCUCAACUGUCAGGCUUUCAGGGGAUACUGUCUGGCUCGAGGCCGGGAGA